rnacentral:rRNA from 1 species
CGCGUGGGUAACCUGCCCUAUACACAUGGAUAACAUACUGAAAAGUUUACUAAUACAUGAUAAUAUAUAUUUGCGGCAUCGUAGAUAUAUCAAAGUGUUAGCGGUAUAGGAUGGACCCGCGUCUGAUUAGCUAGUUGGUGAGAUAACUGCCCACCAAGGCGACGAUCAGUAGCCGACCUGAGAGGGUGAUCGGCCACAUUGGAACUGAGACACGGUCCAAACUCCUACGGGAGGCAGCAGCC